GACGAACGCUGGCGGCAUGCCUAAUACAUGCAAGUCGAGCGCAGGAAGCCGUCUGAACCCUUCGGGGGGACGACGGUGGAAUGAGCGGCGGACGGGUGAGUAACACGUAAGGAACCUGCCCAUAGGUCUGGGAUAACCACGAGAAAUCGGGGCUAAUACCGGAUGUGUCAUCGGACCGCAUGGCCCGCUGAUGAAAGGCGCUCCGGCGUCGCCCAUGGAUGGCUUUGCGGUGCAUUAGAUAGUUGGUGGGGUAACGGGCCACCAAGGCGACGAUGCAUAGCCGACCUGAGAGGGUGAUCGGCCACACUGGAACUGAGACACGGCCCAGACUCCUACGGGAGGCGGCAGUAGGGAAUCUUCCACAAUGGACGAAAGUCUGAUGGAGCAACGCCGCGUGAACGAUGAAGGCUUUCGGGUCGUAAAGUUCUGUUGUAAGGGAAGAACAAGUGCCGCAGGCAAUGGCGGCACCUUGACGGUACCUUGCGAGAAAGCCACGGCUAACUACGUGCCAGCAGCCGCAGUAAGAC
rnacentral:rRNA from 1 species